rnacentral:sRNA from 1 species
UCUCUUCAUCAUCUCUAUUUUCUCUUUCUUUCCUCAUAAUUCUCUUGUCUCGUGUGUGCUGUGCUCAUCCUCUCUUUUUUCUUGAAUCUCACUGCUAGUGUCAUCUGGCCCAGCUGUGCUGCAGCUGAAACUGUUUUCAAUAUGAUGAUCAUAUUCACUUUCUCUUCUUCUCAGAUGCAAUUUCACCUCACACUAUCAUCAAGUUACUCUAAUAUCAUACACAGACUGAGGUCUGCUACUGAGAUAUCUAGGCUGUCUGAGACUGUGACUGACUGAGAUUUUCUGUUCAUUUUGUUGAUUAGACUGGCUGUGUGACCAUGCAUGGGACUGGGACUAAAUAUUUCUUCAGUCCCAUUAUCAAAUUUCUUAGUCCUGGUCCCAUAUAGUGUUUUUUAAAUUAGUCACUUUACACUGUUUAUAUUAUAAAUCUAGUCCCAGGUCAUGUUCUUCUUAUAAAUUACUGAUUCUGGUCCCAUUUGUCCCAUUUUACAAAAUGGGACCAAAUGGGACCAUGAUUUACCCUAUAUAGAUGAUAUAAUGAUAUGAGUGUUACC